AAGCCGCCUGUCUAAGUUCCUUGGAACAGGACGUCAUAAAGGGGGAGAAUCCCGUAUGUGCCAGGAAAUGGCCCCCUAUGAAAAUCUCCUUCGACAAGUCGAGUUGUUUGGGAAUGCAGUUCUAAAUGGGAGGAAAAUUUCUUCUAAAGCUAAAUAUUGGCAAAAGACCGAUAGCGCACAAGAAAAGUGAUCGAAAGAUGAAAAGCACUUUGAAAAGAGAGUUAAAAAGCACGGGAAAUUGUUGAAAGGGAACCGCUUGCAAUCAAACUUGUUUAAACUGUUCGGCCGGUCUUCUGACCGGUUUACUCAGUUUGGACAGGCCACCAUCAUUUUCGGCGGCCGAAUAAAGGUUCUGGAAAUGUGGCCUCCACUUCGGGGGAGGGGUUAUA
rnacentral:rRNA from 1 species